CCAUUUUAAAGAAUCAUAUGGAUAAGAGGAGGUGGGGGAUAGAUUGAGGAAGGGAGAAAGAGACAGACAGAGGAUCGAGGCGUGGCACAGUUUGGAGAGACGGACAGUUAAGAAGAGCGACUGAUCAGAGUGGUCGAGAAGGAAGGGAAAAGUGACACCGUUGACACCAUUGAGGUAGGAUCGGUGUGGAGGACGUCGAUUGUCAAGUACAACGGCGACGACGACGACGAUGUCGACGACGACGACGACGACGACGACGACGACGACGACGACGACGACGACGAUAACGACGCGACGCUUCACCGCAAAUCUGAUUCCAUGUAGGUAUACUUGACAUUAAAUUUUCCGUCGGCCUUCUAAACUGUGCGGCGCUAUACGUGCGCGCAAACGAACACGCGUGUAGGCAGUCAGCUCACUCCAAAGCCUUUCUCUUUGGCGAGCCAAUGAUUGCGCCACCUACCGAAAAAUCUACGCCUACCAACGCAACGAGGAGACUUAGAAACAGCGAUAAUGGACGAUCCUAAACAUGUCUUCGAUUCUUUUUCUCUCGAUCGCUUAUUUUUUUUUGUCCUUAUAAAUUUGAGGCCUUAAAUUUUUUUUUU